rnacentral:rRNA from 1 species
GAUGAACGCUAGCGGCGGGCUUAAUACAUGCAAGUCGAGGGGUGGUAGCAAUACUACACCGGCGCACGGGUGCGUAACGCGUAUGCAAUCUACCUUUAUCUGGGGGAUAGCCCGGGGAAACCCGGAUUAAUACCGCAUAACAAAUUGAUUGGCAUCAAUUAAUUUUAAAAGAUUUACCGGAUAGAGAUGGGCAUGCGUAAGAUUAGAUAGUUGGCGAGGUAACGGCUCACCAAGUCUACGAUCUUUAGGGGCUCUGAGAGGGAGAUCCCCCACACUGGUACUGAGACACGGACCAGACUCCUACGGGAGGCAGCAGUGAGGAAUAUUGGUCAAUGGGCGCAAGCCUGAACCAGCCAUGCCGCGUGCAGGAAGACGGUCCUAUGGAUUGUAAACUGCUUUUAUACAGGAAGAAACAACUCUACGUGUAGAGUCUUGACGGUACUGUAGGAAUAAGGAUCGGCUAACUCCGUGCCAGCCGCCGCCGUAACAC